GUUACCGUGGUUUCAAUCUAUCAUAAUAUGAUAUUAUCUCACGUAUUAUAAAUUUUAUUUAUAAGACUAGUGGCAAUUUCAUUGAGUUGACAUGAAGUACCUGAUGCUUGUUUUUAUGGUCUGCGUGUUUUUGACGAGCAUCGACGCGGACUUAUGGAAGCAGAGUAAAAAAAAUAAAAUUAACCGAAGGCAAGAUGAUGACGAUUUGGGGAGAGUGAGAAUCAAAGUGUUCCGCGGACCUGAUGACGAAGUUGAUGGAAAUCAAUUUGCGCAUUGAGGAUAUUGGGUUUCGCAGCCAAGAGAUGAUGAAAUCCGCUGAAGAUUUAGUCCAAG